GUUUCGGGGUUUGUACCAGUGACUCAGUCCCUCAUGCAAAUGAGGCAGCAGGUGGCUCUUGACAGCCUCGGGCUCCGGCCCACUUGCUCCCGGGGCCGUGGAGCCAGCUGAGCAGCCAGGAGCUGGGGACCGUGUCUGCACCCUGGGGGGCAGGGACCCCCUGGGGCUGGCCGGAGGGAGAGCAGGCGGCAUGGAGAGGACGGGGUUAAAUUCUCACCCAGGAGAAAUAAGAAUGUCUAAGCCUCUGGAGCUGGAGAAGGCGCAAGUGCAGCUGCAUGGGGAGCACACAGACACAGAACGAAACGGCCCCGACACAAACCACCAGACCCAGCAGAGCAAACCAGCCCCAUUCUCCCCGGCCCCCACCGGUCCCAGCCCAAGAUCAAGGCGGAGGACCCCCCGGCCCUGCCUCCAGCUCCAGCACCCGCCCCCCCGGCCAGCAGCCCCACCUGCCCCAGGCCCAGCUCAUGUUAGCAGGCAGCCAGCUGGCUGGGCUGACGGCCCUGAUGCCUGCCCAGCAGCAGCUCCUCCUGCAGCAGGCGCAGCUCCUGGCCGCGGCCGCUGCAGCCAACGCCGCCAGCCAGCCGCCGGGGGGCGAGGCGCCCCAGAGCCAGCCGCAAACGCCCCAGCUGGCUCUGUCGCAGCCCAUCCAGCUCACCCGCAGGACAUCCAGCAGCUCCUUCAGCUCCAGCAGCUGGUGCUUGUCCCUGGGCACCACCUCCAGCCGCCCGCCCAGUUCCUGCUGCCACAGGCCCAGCAAGGACAACAAGGGCUACUCCCGACACCAAAUCUCUUUCAGCUACCUCAGCAAAGCCCGGGGGGGCUCCUGCCAACCCCCCCCCGCACCGGGCUGCCCGCACAGCCAGUGACUCGGCCGGGCCUCCCCGAGUCCCACCUUGCGCACCCCCAGCCCCCAAAAUGCCUGGAGCCGCCGGCGCACCCUGAGGAGCCCAGCGACCUGGAGGAACUGGAGCAGUUCGCCCGCACCUUCAAACAGCGACGCAUCAAGCUUGGCUUCACGCAGGGCGACGUAGGGCUGGCCAUGGGGAAACUCUACGGCAACGACUUCAGCCAGACGACCAUCUCCCGCUUCGAGGCCCUGAACCUUAGCUUCAAGAACAUGUGCAAGCUCAAGCCGCUGCUGGAGAAGUGGCUCAAUGACGCCGAGACCAUGUCGGUGGACUCGACCCUCCCCAGCCCCAACCAGCUGAGCAGCCCCAGCCUGGGCUUUGAUGGGCUGCCGGGCCGGCGGCGCAAGAAACGGACCAGCAUCGAGACCAACGUGCGCUUUGCCCUGGAGAAGAGCUUUCUCGCGAACCAGAAGCCUACCUCAGAGGAGAUCCUGCUGAUCGCAGAGCAGCUGAACAUGGAGAAAGAGGUGAUCCGUGUCUGGUUCUGCAACCGCCGCCAGAAGGAGAAACGCAUCAACCCCUGCAGCAGCACCCCCAUGCUGCCCGCCCAGGCAAGCCCCCGGGUACGGCCCCCACAUGGUGACGAGUCCAGCCCCCGCGUGAGUCUCCCGCUCUCCCAGGCUUCCAGCAGUCUGAGCACAACAGUGACUACCUUGUCCUCGGCGGUCAGCUCCCUGACCCCCAGCCGGACGGGGACAGGCGGGGGGCCCCCCGCUAUCAAUUCCGCCACGCCCCCCCCCCACCACAGCCACCCACCCCAGCCCCCAGAGCAGCAGCCAUUCAGCAUCGGCCUGUCGGGCCUGAAUCCCAGCACGGGAGCACAGUGCUAGGGGUGAAUGCGGGGUUAAACCCAGCGCUAAUGGCCACCAACCCGCUGGCCACCAUCCAAGCAUGGCCAGUGGUGGAACCCUGCCCAUUACAGUCUGACGCCAGCGGUAGCUUGGUCCUGGGCACUACGGCCAGCACCCCGGGGAGCCAGAGCAUUGUCACCCUCGCCGCUCUUCCUGAACCACGCGGGGCUGCCCCUGCUGAGCGCCACCCCAAGGGGGGUGGGGCUGGUCUCGGCCGCCGUGGCCGCCUCCCUGUCCAGCAAAUCCCCCAGCCUCACCUCCUCCUCCUCCUCCACCUGCUCCUCUUGCAGCUCCUCCAGCGAGGCGGCUGGGCCGUCCCCGGGCCACGCCGGGCCGGCAGCCUCUGAGCCGGACAGCAAGACGGAGUGAGGGGCGGCAGGGCGCUGCCCACCAGUGCUCGCGCAGGGAGGGAAGGCGGCAAGAGAUGAGUGACAGCAACACAAAACUGUCAGCAGCAGCCAAAUGAAAAAUCAACCAAAAAUAACCCAAAGCAGCCGAACCAAGGGACAAGAGAUGGAGAAACCAAAAACGAAUUCCCCAGCAUUGGCGAUUCGUGGACGUGCUUUGAAUUCUUAUUCCCUCCGACACACACCCAAGAAAUAGUCCUAGCCGCAGUCUGUCAUGGGAUCUGCUGCUUUCCCCAGACCCCGGCUCUGGGGUCACGAUGCUGGAGCAGAAUUGGAGCUUUCCUCGAGGAAGCAAGGGGAAAAAAAAUCGAAUCUCCAGCUCUGAUGCGCACCGGGCGAAAACCUUGCAGCUCGUGCCCUGAAGGCGCCGCAAGCAGAAGGCAAAGAAACCCAGAGUGGAUUGCGGUUUUUGUUUUUGUUUCAUUUGAAAUCUGGUGAUUUUCAAUGGCAAUCUCGCCUUUUACUUACUGUUCAUUGAAAGGGGGGGCUGUCCAGAUGGGUGACUUGAAUCACUCUUCGGCCAGCAGAUUUGGUUUUGGAAUUGCCUUUUAUUUGAUUUUUCUCUUAGUGUUUAUUGGACAUUUUUGGGGGGACAAACAUAAGGAAAAACAGGUGGGCUUUUUUGAUUGCACAGGAAGAAGAAAUAGGGGAAAUAAUAUAAAAAAAAAAUCUCACACCAAAAAACCCCAACCCAUGACCAGUCCUAGCUUCGCCCAAAGGCUUUUACAAACUUUUCUAACCUCUGUGUCCGGUCGAAUGUCUUUUGAAACCUUUUAUUUAUUAUUAAUUGAUUUUAUUUGCCAUCUGGGAAGGGGGCUAGAGGGGGACGGGUGGGAGACUCUUUUCAUGUCAGAAUCACGCUCUUAACAAACUCUCUUUUGCUUUCGAUUUGAUAAAUCUCUAUUUUUUCAAUUUGCUUUUAUUUUUAUAAAGAACUAACCAAGCAGGAAGGUGGCUUUUCUGUAGCGCUCGGGAAGACGUUUCCGAAGGGGUUUUCGGAUCUGCCUGCCGCAUUUAUUAGAGCCGGGUCUGCACGGGGACACUGUGCUUCAGUUUAACCAACUGCCCCGGUCUGCACAGAUUUACCUGCGGGGUUCUGCUUUUCCAAAUCAGACAGGGAGCCGCAGGCUGGUGAAACGCCUGGUAGUGAGAGACUUCAGGAGCUUCUCAGAAAGGAGCCGGGGGUAACGUGAUCACUGCAUCUAAGUACUUCAUGGGGAGAAAAUCUUUAACCUAGUGGAGAAAGGCAGAGCAAGAACCAAAUUAAAGCCAGACAAAUUCCAAUAAGGCCCAGUGAUUAGCAGUGCGAGGGAUUAACCAUUGGGGCGCGCACCCCUGGGUAGUGGGGGCUACUCCAUUGCAGAUCCAGCCUGCAUGGCCUUCCGAGAGGCAGCUGUUGGAGCCGAGGGAAUCAACGACACUGCGUCGCUUGGCGGGAGUCCUCGCGUGUCUCUGCCAUGUGUCCGCGGUGCAGCUUCAAGCUGCUCUGAAUCUAGUGAAACCCAGAUUAGCCUGAUUGAGCAUCCAACAGGGUUUUGCAGCCAUCUGGCUAAAUCGCUUUAAACUCACCCUCUGCUUAAACCGCUGCACGGUCUUCAUGCAAAUGCCCGGCUCCCAACCUUGCAAAGACUCUGGCGGGUGGUGACACUUCCACGCUUUGCGUAGAUCCGGCGCUGUCAACGGGGCUACUCAAAGUGCUGCAAGCCACUCACGGCCUCAGCACUUUGCAGGAUUGGGACCUCAUCUCUCAAAUAACCCUGAGCCUUUACCCCCCAGGCAGGCAGCAAUGAAGCAGAGAUUUUUUUUUAACGGAUGAACUAUUAUUUGCUAAUUUAAUUUUUUCUACCAGUCUUUUCCCAUUCCGUUUUUUUCGGUUUUCAGUUCAGCGCGGGUAUCUCUGGGGUUAUUUUUCUGAAGCCGAGGAAGGACAUAUAAUGGUUUAUUCUUAUUUUAUAUCUAUGUUCUGAAAAAAAAAUCAUAUUCCAGUGCCUGACCAAAAAAAGACAAACAAAGAAAAACGGGAAUUUCAGCUUUCUUUACAUUUUCCAAAAGAAACCAAAAAUCGCUGGAUCUAUGUACAGAAAAGCACGGCAUGAAGACUUUUGCUCUCACCGCAAUGACUCGGGAUGCGAGAAAAAACUUUGAACCAAAAAAAUUCAUAAUGAAGUGAACCAAGAAAACUCAAAUAAAAAACCUUUAAUUGAAGAAGAAAGGAUUUAAAACAAUGGACCUAAUGGGGCAUGUCAACUUUUUCUGACUAGACUGAUGGCCUAACGCUCUUUCUCUGUCUUGAAAAAUACCUCAUGGACGUUGCAUCAAGAAGCCCUGGUUUAUGUGACAAAAGGACCAAAAAAACCAGUUCAAAAUAAACCAAAUCACCAGAAUGGGAAAGGGGCUAAUGGAGAGUUCUGAGCACCCUUCCUCAUAAUCAGAAAAGCUUUAAAAAAUGGCUUCUUGAAACGCUGAUAUAUUGUUUGGUUUUUUUAAAACACAAAGACAACUUUUUCUUUGGAUUGUUUUUUUUUUAGUUGGAUCAAUUUCGUGCGUGAUUGUUUUGUUUUGUUUUUUCAAUGCCUGCGAACCAAAGUCUUGCUCCUUUCAGAGAAGGAAGUUAGCCAUGAGAAAACGCCAUCCGGCAACUAAAGAACGAAUGGAAAAGUUAAAAAAAAACACUGAAAACAAACAAACCUUUCUUUAAAGGAAAAAAAAAUCUUGACCUCAUUUUAGCUCCUGCUUUUAGCUGUGUUCAUAGAGUUCAGGUGGGUUUGAGACAACACAAAUAAACAUACUGUGAAACUUUGCUUUACAAAGGAACUGACUGAAACACCUAGGUUUAAACACAGAAAUACCAAAAAAAUCCCAACAACAACCAAACAAAAAAAACAGACUUGAAACUGCUGUUUUUUCACCCUGUAAGGUGCGUGAGGGAAGAGAGCCAGCCCCCGGAGCUGCAGUUCUCAUCUCGAUGGGAGAGGAACAGCGUUUGGGGUGGCUGGUUUCUCCCGGACGUGCUGCCUGAACGCGUUUUCUAGGUGGAAUGUAACUGUUUUAGUGAACUCUCUUCUUUCUUUCUUUUGGGAAAAAUUUUGGUUUCAGGGUGGGGGGAGAGGGAAUGCUUCCCUUUUUUUUUAUAGAGAGAAAUUCUAUGUUCUGCUUUAUCGCUUCUUACUGUAAUAUAAAAAAACAACAAAACGGAAAAAAAAAAAAAAAACAAAAAACCCAAACGCAAAAAGUUUGAGAUGACAAAAAAAACCCAAAAAACCAAAAAUUGUUUUAAAAAAAAGGAUUUUAGACCAAAAAUGACCCUAUCUCCAGGAGCGGAACAGGGAGUGCUGGGCACUCGGCAUUGGCGGGGGCAACCCCAAAACCUAAUGGGGAAGAGGAGUGAAAGAGGGCAAGUGGGAUGGCUGUCAUGAGGGGCGGGGCAGGGGGCCAUGGGAUUUCUACAGUGUCUGUGAGUCUGUCCAUGGCUAACCCGAGCCAUGGGGUAUACCCUCCACUGGGACUGCAUUUCAUAGGGGGUCUAGUGUGUUAGAGCAGGGGAACUGGGAGCCAGGACUCCUGGGUUCUAUUCCCAGCUCUGGGAGGGGAGUGGGGUCUGAUGCGUUAGAGCAGGGGGCUGGAAGCCAGGACUCCUGGGUUCUCUCCCCAGCUCUCCCACUGUCUCCCUGCAAGAUGAUGAUGGUUGCCAGAGAUUGUCUGGGUAUGUGAUGGGAGGCUCAUGAAUCCCUAUGAAAUGCAUCCAUGGCCCCCCCACUUCCCCGAGCCAGCCCCCCAAUGCCCCUCCCCAAAGACGGGGUUGAGAAUAAGUAUCCAAACAAGCUUUAAACUACAGCUGUGAAACCAAAUAUUGAUGUACACACCUCCGUGCUAGCAACCCAGUCAGGACUGGGGGGCAGCAGGGAGGGGCUGGGCUGGGGAUCCCCUCCUCCCCAUGGUGCCGUGAAACCCACCGCGAGGUUCUCUGGAGAUAGCCUGCCAUAUACCUCAUCUACUUUAAAGAUAAACCAAAUAGAAAUGCUUUAUUAGGGUGCGUGCCGGACAGGUGAGGGGAGCGGCGACCUCUCCCAUUGUCCCGCAGGGCCCCCAGGAGCGACCCUCCAUUUCCUUUCCUUCGUGGGUAUUCCUUUUUGUUUGGGGCAGGGGUGCAGGCGCAAGGCUGGAGGAAUCUUGACGGGGGAAGGGAGGAUGCCCACAAGGCCACCAGUCCAUCCCCCAACCUAGACAGCCCGUGUCCAGACUCAGCCACAUGUCAGGUUGGGAAUCCCAAUAUCACCCCAGGAUGAUGGUGCUUCGCUGUACCCCGCCCCCAUGUGGACAAGGGGAAGCAUCUGCCACCGGUCUGUGAGCUAGGGAGAUGCCCAUUCCGGACACUAGGAGGGGCAGUGCCAGCAUCCAAACCCUUCCCUCAUGCUGCCCUGUCACAGUGACUGACCCAGGAGGGGUGGGAAAUCGCGAUGACUUUGCCAAAGGUAGUCAGUUCCUAGUGUUUAAACGUUUUAUGUUUUAAUCUUUCAGGGUCUGAUCCUGUCUUGUUAAUUUAUUUGUAACUGUGGGACUUAGAAGUGACUUGAAAAUAAUAAUAACAAUGUAACAGAUA